GGGGAUUUGGCUCAGUGGUAGAGCGCUUGCCUAGCAAGUACAAGGCCCUGGGUUCGGUUCCCAGCUCCA
rnacentral:tRNA from 1 species